CCUACGGGAGGCAGCAGUGGGGAAUAUUGGACAAUGGGGGGAACCCGGAUCCAGCCAUGCCGCGUGUGUGAAGAAGGCCCUCGGGUUGUAAAGCACUUUCAGUGAGGAAGAACGCCUGGUGGUUAAUACCCAUCAGGAAAGACAUCACUCACAGAAGAAGCACCGGCUAACUCCGUGCCAGCAGCCGCGGUAAUACGGAGGGUGCGAGCGUUAAUCGGAAUUACUGGGCGUAAAGCGCGCGUAGGUGGCUUGAUAAGCCGGUUGUGAAAGCCCCGGGCUCAACCUGGGAACGGCAUCCGGAACUGUCAAGCUAGAGUGCAGGAGAGGAAGGUAGAAUUCCCGGUGUAGCGGUGAAAUGCGUAGAGAUCGGGAGGAAUACCAGUGGCGAAGGCGGCCUUCUGGACUGACACUGACACUGAGGUGCGAAAGCGUGGGUAGCAAACAGGAUUAGAUACCCGAGUAGUC
rnacentral:rRNA from 1 species